GCUCCAAUCGAACCCGGUACCUCUGCACUGUGAAGUCAACGUGCUAACCACUCGACUACCGGGCCGCCUAUGUGCUAUGCAGUGCUGGUAAAAAUGAAUGACUGGCAACUCUUGCAAGUGCUAGCAUUAUUUUGCCGUGAACGGCUCUGAUUGGUCAAUCGCCGGUGCGAGGAAUUCUUGGCCUGUCGUGCAUCAGGUAUUUUAUCCCAACAGUAGGUUGACCUGAAUU